CACUCCUACGGGAGGCAGCAGUGGGGAAUAUUGGACAAUGGGCGCAAGCCUGAUCCAGCCAUGCCGCGUGAGUGAUGAAGGCCCUAGGGUUGUAAAGCUCUUUCACCGGUGAAGAUAAUGACGGUAACCGGAGAAGAAGCCCCGGCUAACUUCGUGCCAGCAGCCGCGGUAAUACGAAGGGGGCUAGCGUUGUUCGGAUUUACUGGGCGUAAAGCGCACGUAGGCGGACUAUUAAGUCAGGGGUGAAAUCCCGGGGCUCAACCCCGGAACUGCCUUUGAUACUGGUAGUCUUGAGUUCGAGAGAGGUGAGUGGAAUUCCGAGUGUAGAGGUGAAAUUCGUAGAUAUUCGGAGGAACACCAGUGGCGAAGGCGGCUCACUGGCUCGAUACUGACGCUGAGGUGCGAAAGCGUGGGGAGCAAACAGGAUUAGAUACCCGGGUAGUCC
rnacentral:rRNA from 1 species